rnacentral:rRNA from 1 species
CCUACGGGUGGCAGCAGUGAGGAAUAUUGGUCAAUGGACGAGAGUCUGAACCAGCCAAGUAGCGUGAAGGAUGACUGCCCUAUGGGUUGUAAACUUCUUUUAUAUGGGAAUAAAAUGUUCCACGUGUGGGAUUUUGUAUGUACCAUAUGAAAAAGCAUCGGCUAACUCCGUGCCAGCAGCCGCGGUAAUACGGAGGAUGCGAGCGUUAUCCGGAUUUAUUGGGUUUAAAGGGUGCGUAGGCGGAUUUGUAAGUCAGCGGUAAAAAUGCGGUGCUCAACGCCGUAUCGCCGUUGAAACUGCAGGUCUUGAGUGAGCGAGAAGUAUGCGGAAUGCGUGGUGUAGCGGUGAAAUGCAUAGAUAUCACGCAGAACUCCGAUUGCGAAGGCAGCAUACCGGCGCUCAACUGACGCUGAGGCACGAAAGCGUGGGGAUCGAACAGGAUUAGAUACCCCGGUAGUC